GGCAACAGCUCAAAUUUGAAAUCUGGCUCUCGGGCCCGAGUUGUAAUUUGUAGAGGAUGCUUUUGGCGAGGUGCCUUCCGAGUUCCCUGGAACGGGACGCCACAGAGGGUGAGAGCCCCGUAUGGUCGGACACCGAGCCUCUGUAAAGCUCCUUCGACGAGUCGAGUAGUUUGGGAAUGCUGCUCAAAAUGGGAGGUAUAUGUCUUCUAAAGCUAAAUAUUGGCCAGAGACCGAUAGCGCACAAGUAGAGUGAUCGAAAGAUGAAAAGCACUUUGAAAAGAGGGUUAAAAAGUACGUGAAAUUGUUGAAAGGGAAGCGCCUAUGACCAGACUUGCGCCCGGUGAAUCACCCAGCGUUCUCGCUGGUGCACUUUGCCGGGCACAGGCCAGCAUCAGUUCAGCGCGGGGGAGAAAGGCUUCGGGAAUGUGGCUCCCUCGGGAGUGUUAUAGCCCGCUGCGUAAUGCCCUGCGCCGGACUGAGGUACGCGCAUUGCAAGGAUGCUGGCGUAAUGGUCAUCAGCGACCCGUCUUGAAACACGGACCAAGGAGUCGUCUUCGUAUGCGAGUGUUCGGGUGUCAAACCCCUACGCGUAAUGAAAGUGAACGCAGGUGAGAGCUUCGGCGCAUCACCGACCGAUCCUGAUGUUCUCGGAUGGAUUUGAGUAAGAGCAUACGGGGCCGGACCCGAAAGAAGGUGAACUAUGCCUGUAUAGGGUGAAGCCAGAGGAAACUCUGGUGGAGGCUCGCAGCGGUUCUGACGUGCGAAUCGAUCGUCAAAUAUGGGCAUGGGGGCGAAAGACUAAUCG
rnacentral:rRNA from 1 species